CCAAACUCUGGAUUCUGGUAGAAAGAUUGUGGACAUUCUUCAAAAUGAAAACCAAAGUGCACCAGUAGAAAAAGCUGAGACAUCUGAUAUUUCACCCACCUACCAGACAGGCUGCAAAAAUUCCUAAAGGAGAAUCUGAAAGCUCUUGGUGUGGCUCAGAUCACGAUCAGUGUGAAAUAUUUCCUCUAUGGGACCAUUGGACUUUUUACUAUUAAUUUAAAAUAUUUCAGCAAUUUAUUCUUCUUAUUUUAUACAGGCUUCCCUAUAUGGGCAUCGUUUUCUUUUGUCAUCUCUGGAUCUCUAACUGUUGUAUCUACCAAGAAGCAAACAAAAUCACUGAUGAGUGGCAAUGUGGGCACCAACACUGUCAGCACCCUGGUCUCACUAGCUGGAAUCUUCCUUCUGUCAAGUAGUUUAUUUAAAAUUUCCCACUUUGACUGUUAUGAAAGGUCAUGUUUGGCUUCAGAUCAAUGGUAGCUAGUUCUCUACUGUUUAGCUGGAAAUCAGCUUCUGAAGGCCCUUAUCAAGAAUUGUUACCUCAAACUUCAAUCUACAGCGAACUUGAACAUAAAGAAACAACACCCUCACAGGAUCCCACAGACACCAGAAAACAAAUGUGAGGCUGUGCCCCUGUAUUGUGGAUCCACAGAGGCAAGAAGCGCUCAUUCUGUGGUGACCAAGCUGGAAACACACAUCUGUGGGGCUUCAUUGGAGUAGUUCAAAGUCAUAGAAAUAAGAGUUAGUAUCCAUCCUGUUCAAGGACUGAUUGGCCACAAAUCAGAUUAUCUUUAAAAACUUGACUUUGAAAUAUCAGUGGCCUAAACCAUUAAAUUUUAUACACUGUAUCUUUAAAA